rnacentral:rRNA from 1 species
GAAAGUGGCGCACGGGUGCGUAACGCGUAUGCAACCUACCCUAUACAGGGGGAUAGCCCGGAGAAAUCUGGAUUAAUACCCCAUGGUACUAUGAUGAGGCAUUUUGUUAUAGUUAAAGAUUCAUCGGUAUAGGAUGGGCAUGCGUCUGAUUAGCUAGUUGGGGGUGUAACGGACCACCAAGGCGACGAUCAGUAGGGGUUCUGAGAGGAAGGUCCCCCACACUGGCACUGAGAUACGGGCCAGACUCCUACGGGAGGCAGCAGUAGGGAAUAUUGGGCAAUGGACGAGAGUCUGACCCAGCCAUGCCGCGUGCAGGAAGACGGCGUUCUGCGUUGUAAACUGCUUUUAUCUGGGAAGAAAAGGCCCAUGCGUGGGACAUUGCCGGUACCAGAUGAAUAAGCACCGGCUAACUCCGUGCCAGCAGCCGCGGUAAUACGGAGGGUGCAAGCGUUGUCCGGAUUUAUUGGGUUUAAAGGGUGCGUAGGCGGCUAUUUAAGUCAGUGGUGAAAGACUCCGGCUCAACCGGGGCAGUGCCAUUGAUACUGGAUAGCUUGAGUAUUGGAGGGGUACAUGGAAUUGAUGGUGUAGCGGUGAAAUGCAUAGAUACCAUCAGGAACACCGAUAGCGAAGGCAUUGUACUGGCCAAUAACUGACGCUGAUGCACGAAAGCAUGGGGAGCGAACAGGAUUAGAUACCCUGGUAGUCCAUGCCGUA